rnacentral:rRNA from 1 species
UACGUAGGGUGCGAGCGUUGUCCGGAAUUAUUGGGCGUAAAGGGCUCGUAGGCGGUUUGUCGCGUCGGGAGUGAAAACCUCGGGCUUAACUCGGGGCUUGCUUUCGAUACGGGCAGACUGGAGGUAUGCAGGGGAGAACGGAAGUUCCUGGAUGUAGCGGUGAAAUGACGCAGAUAUCAGGAGGAACACCGGUGGCGAAGGCGGUUCUCUGGGCCGUAACUGACGCUGAGGAGCGAAAGCAUGGGGAGCGAACAGG